GCUGGGGCCUCGGGCGGGGUGCACCGCUGUCCUUUCGCCGCCGUCCGGGCGGCACUGCACGUGCAGCGCGCGGUCCCCCACCCAGCGCAGCCCGCAACACCCCUGGUCUGCCGCAGGAGACCCUGCCGAUGCCACUCAGGGUCAAGACUCUGGCGCGGUGGAAACUGCAGAGCAAAAGGAAACACAGACAAAAACAGUGAGAAGGAGAGAGAGCAUGUGGGGCUUUGCCAGAGAGGAACUUGGAUGGCAAUCACCUAAGAACUCCAAACUCAGUGCCAGGGCAGACUGGUGUCUAUUUUGCAAUGUCUUCCAGUAGUUGAUAACUUUCUACUUUUAAAAUAAUUGGAAGAAUGUAAGCUCUCAACUAGUCCACUAGUCCCGAAACAAUAGAUACCAGCUGGCAGAGAUAAUAGCUGUCUGGAAGAGAGAGAUACAUACCACAUCAAAAAACAACAAAAAAAGGAUGGCUCAAGUACUCAAAAGGCAGCACUAAAAUAAGGCUAUGUCUCUUCCUGAGAAUACUCUGGACUUCAUUCUCUGAUUAAAGAUCACAACUGCUUCUUCGUUGAGGAAAUCAUGUAUUUCAAAGCCACCAAUGAACAAGAAUGACAAUCCAUGAAUUACACAGUAAACAAAUACUAUAUGUAUGAGACCGAUUCACUGUCACAAACCUGGAGAAGAAAACCCUUUUGAGGUUUAAAGCUGAGAGGGAGAUAAAAACUUGGUUGUACUACUUCUGGGAAAUGCUGAAGUUAUCCACGUGAUUUUCCAGUCACUGAUUAUUUUAGCAAAGUAACACAAACAGAGGAGGAGCUCUGGACUCUAGCUUCU
rnacentral:lncRNA from 1 species